CAGAACACACCGACAACAAACUUUCAGUUUCUUAAGAUUCAUUUUGUAACUUUUAAUAGGUUUCCUUUUCAUGAAUCAAAAUUUUCACGAAGAAAGAGACAUCAUGAUGGAUAUCGAAGAAACAAAAAAAAGAUGAUUUUGAUGCGAGCAUAUUUCUUAUGGUGGUGAUGGUUUCUAGAGAUGCUCAGUUUCAAAACUCAAAAAGCGUCUCCUGGGUUAACAUUCUAUAGAACGCAACGCCUCCUUCGCCGACCAGUCACAAUGCUCGGAGAACGAUACAUACAGAAGGUAUUAAAUAAAGAUUUUCAACACUUUCGGGUGUUGUACCAUAUGUUUUCAGAUGUGUUUCUAAUUCAUGUGCAUUCCUUUAAAAUUCUUAAAGAAAAAUAAACAUGAGAAUUAUGUAAAUGCAUUAAAAUAUCAGCGAAUCUUAAACGACUACAAAAAUUAUUAUUUAUGAAUUUUCUCAAAUUCUAUUAAAUUCCUCGAUUAAAUACCAUCCCCUUAGAGUUUAAAAAUGUUUUAUUUUAAUUAUUGAUAGUUUAUUUUGUAAAAUUUUAAAUUUAUUUUGAUUAAAUUUGAUGGAAUUUAGGUUUUUCUUUUCUUUUUAGAUCCUAAGUAUCUCAACCCGAUCCGGACCCAAAAAUUACAGCUAUUUUAAAGGUAUUUUAAUUAUAUAUCCGAACCAAUCUGGAUACGAGAAGAACCGACAUGAAUCUGAACCGAAAAUUUAAAAAUGUCUAUUGAAUCCAAAUAUCUAGAAUCCGAAGGAUCCGGACCAAACCCGACCCAAAGACCGCAGAGUGUCAUGAGUUAUUCUUUUUUACGUUUUUUUAAUCUAAUUUUAUGUCCAGUUAUUCCUUACUACUCUCUCUUACUUUUAUCACCUAUCAUUUAUUUUACCACUAAAUACUUUAGUUCUUUUGUCAAUUAUCAGAAAACAGAUUAACAUAGUGAUAUCUCAUGUUUUUAUAGGCUUUUAACAUUUCAUUUGAAUGCAUUUUGAUCAUUAGAUGGCAUAUUAGGUGUAUAUAUUACAUUAAUUAGAGUGUUCAUUUGCAUAUCCUAGGGUUUGGAUUGCACAAAUGAGAAGUUUGGGGCUAAAUUGUGGGGUUAUUCCUACAAACUACAAAAUUUGUGGUUGAAUUGAAAACCAUCAUGAGACGAGGGAUCAUUCUGCAAUUAAAAGGAGGUCUAAUCUGUACACCUGAAAACUUUGUGGUUGAUCGGAGGGGUGUAUAUGUAAUUUCCAUAGUUGUGGGGUGAUCGGAGUAAAUAUUAAAAACGUCAAGGACCUGUUGUGGAAAAAUAUGAAAACCAGCCAAUGGAGUUGUGCGAUCUUCUUCUCGCCGGAUCUGGUGCACAACGACGACGGCGAAGGCUAGGCUGACGAUGAGUUGUGGUUUCAGACCGUCACGGAGGAGCGCUCGACGAGGAAGACAGAGACGAGACUGAAGACUCACGCCUACGAAGGCGGGAGAGGAACGUGGGCUUAUCAUACACAUUGCAUGACUUCAAUUGGUUGUCUAUUUUUCUGUCAAAUGAUAACGCUUUACGACUUAAACUAUCUCAAACGUUUUAACAAGCCAUCUAGAAUCUCUCCCCACAAACUGUAGUUUUAUAAAGAAAAAAAAUAAAGAAUGACAAUUUUCUAAAUAUUCACCGGUCAAAUCAUUAAUACUAAAUUUUGUAACUGGAAGUAACCGGAAAAAAAUAUUCAAGACUCAUAAGUUUGUCUUGGGUUGAGACAAGAAUAUUCAUAGCACAAUACUUCGUUUACA
rnacentral:lncRNA from 1 species